UACGGGGGGGGGUAAGCGUUGUUCGGAAUUACUGGGCGUAAAGGGCUCGUAGGCGGCCAACUAAGUCGUACGUGAAAUCCCUCAGCUUAACUGGGGAACUGCGUCUGAUACUGGAUGGCUUGGAUUCGGGAGAGGAAUGCGGAAUUCCAGGUGUAGCGGUGAAAUGCGUAGAUAUCUGGAGGAACACCGGUGGCGAAGGCGGCAUUCUGGACCGACAUUGACGCUGAGGAGCGAAAGCCAGGGGAGCAAACGGG
rnacentral:rRNA from 1 species